AUUGAACGCUGGCGGCAGGCUUAACACAUGCAAGUCGAGCGGAGCGAGGGUGCUUGCACCUUAGCUUAGCGGCGGACGGGUGAGUAAUGCUUAGGAAUCUGCCUAUUAGUGGGGGACAACAUUCCGAAAGGAAUGCUAAUACCGCAUACGCCCUACGGGGGAAAGCAGGGGAUCUCUGGACCUUGCGCUAAUAGAUGAGCCUAGGUCGGAUUAGCUAGUUGGUGGGGUAAAGGCCUACCAAGGCGACGAUCUGUAGCGGGUCUGAGAGGAUGAUCCGCCACACUGGGACUGAGACACGGCCCAGACUCCUACGGGAGGCAGCAGUGGGGAAUAUUGGACAAUGGGCGGAAGCCUGAUCCAGCCAUGCCGCGUGUGUGAAGAAGGCCUUUUGGUUGUAAAGCACUUUAAGCGAGGAGGAGGAGCUCUAGGUUAAUACCCUAGAUGCUUGGACGUUACUCGCAGAAUAAGCACCGGCUAACUCUGUGCCAGCCGCCGCCGUAAAAC
rnacentral:rRNA from 1 species